GCAAAUUUAAACAGUUUGCUUGAUGAGUAGUUUUACCAAUACAUUCUGCCACAAUCGGCCCUUUGAGGACAUUGAUGAUCUUAACAUGGCAUGAAAUGAAAAUAUGUUUUGACACCUCUGCUUUAAAAGAGCAAGCUGACAUCAUCAGCUCUCUUCAGUACUUCAAAGCUCUGGUUGGACAGUUUGGGAGAGGACAGACCUGUUGGAGACAAAGUGGUACUGGACCAGUCCACUGUGGGUGGCCUACUGGGAAGAGCUUCCACUAGGAUGCUGAAAGUAGUUCAGACUGUGGUCCAGCUCAAACCUCACCUGUUAACCAGGGACAUUUAUCUUAAUGAUCCUUGAAGAUCAUAAAGCAUCUCUAUGUGAGAGCAUUUCAGCCUGUCUCACUCAUCUC